AGAGUUUGAUUAUGGCUCAGGACGAACGCUGGCGGCGUGCUUAACACAUGCAAGUCGAACGGAGUGCCCUUGAAAGAGGCUUCGGCCAAUGGAUGGGAACACUUAGUGGCGGACUGGUGAGUAACGCGUGAGGAACCUGCCUUUCAGAGGGGGACAACAGUUGGAAACGACUGCUAAUACCGCAUGACACAUCGAGGGGGCAUCCCUUUGAUGUCAAAGAUUUAUCGCUGAAAGAUGGCCUCGCGUCCCAUUAGCUAGUUGGUGAGGUAACGGCCCACCAAGGCGACGAUGGGUAGCCGGACUGAGAGGUUGACCGGCCACAUUGGGACUGAGAUACGGCCCAG
rnacentral:rRNA from 1 species